rnacentral:rRNA from 1 species
UAAUACGUAGGGGGCAAGCGUUGUCCGGAUUCACUGGGUGUAAAGGGCGCGCAGGCGGGUUAAUAAGUCAGAGGUGAAAUCCUACAGCUCAACUGUAGAACUGCCUUUGAUACUGUUAAUCUUGAGUUCGGAAGAGAGAGACGGAAUUCCAGGUGUAGUGGUGAAAUACGUAGAUAUCUGGAAGAACACCAGUAGCGAAGGCGGUCUCUUGGUCCGAUACUGACGCUCAGGCGCGAAAGCGUGGGUAGCAAACAGG